CCUACGGGAGGCAGCAGUGAGGAAUAUUGGUCAAUGGCCGUAAGGCUGAACCAGCCAAGUAGCGUGAGGGAAGACUGCCCUAUGGGUUGUAAACCUCUUUUAUGCGGGGAUAAAGGUGUCCACGUGUGGAUGUUUGCAGGUACCGCAUGAAUAAGGACCGGAUAAUUCCGUGCCAGCAGCCGCGGUAAUACGGAAGGUCCGGGCGUUAUCCGGAUUUAUUGGGUUUAAAGGGAGCGUAGGCCGGUCUUUAAGCGUGCCGUGAAAUUUUGUGGCUCAACCCUGGGAGUGCGGCGAUAGCUGGAAGCCGUGAGUGGGCGGAAGGCAGGCGGAAUGCGCGGGGGAGCGGUGAAAUGCU
rnacentral:rRNA from 1 species